UUCAUUUCUACAUACUUCACAACCCCUUUAAUAGUCCCUGAUUUCCCUACACGCUUCUGACAUUCUUUUACUGCCGACUUGCAUCUAUUCUUAUUUACUGUAUGGUGUGAGACAUAAACACAAUGAACAUACACAGAUAUGAUGUUUACAUAAUUCCUCACUGGGUUGAGUAAAGUCUACAUCGAGUUUAUCUGAUGGAGUCUCUCUUACAACACCAGCUGGUGUUUGUGUGUUUUGAGGGAGCAAGCCACGACAGAACAGAGCCAAACCCACAGCACAUCAGAAAGCAAUGCCUGCAGGUACCAACAAACACUUCGGAAAUCCGUCAUAUCUCACAGCUCAAGAUUUCAAGAUCGAAAGCAGAUUAAUACAGUUGGCAUCUAUUAUCUGAACAACAACAUCAGUCAUACAGGGCAUUUGGUGUUACAUGGAUCUCCCGACUUAAAAAGCCUGUAAACACUGACCAAAGGGAACAUUGACAAAGCUCCUAACAUAGAGCCAAGCUGCACUACAGCUCCACACCACACAAGGGCGCUGUGGCCCUCAUCUCGCAGGAUCACUCCAAUAAUGACCUUCACGUAGGACAAGCUGGAUGGUGGUUGAGUAGAAGAAAAGCACCCAGGCACACCAUCAUCAUAGCACUGAGGAACAGGAAAAAAACCUGUGCAGAAAAGUUGGCGGGCUGAUAUUGUGCCUGUAAUUCUCCAUCAGAACCCCAG